GGGUACCGUCAGGCCUAACGUGUAUUAUACGUUAGGAGGUUCUUCCCCUCUGACAGAGCUUUACGACCCGAGAGCCUUCAUCACUCACGCGGUAUUGCUGCGUCAGGCUUUCGCCCAUUGCGCAAAAUUCCCC
rnacentral:rRNA from 1 species